UACAGAGGUCUCAAGCGUUGUCCGGAUUCAUUGGGCGUAAAGGGUGCGUAGGCGGCGCUGUAAGUCGGGUGUGAAAUUUCGAGGCUUAACCUCGAAACUGCAUUCGAUACUGCGGUGCUUGAGGACUGGAGAGGAGACUGGAAUUCAUGGUGUAGCAGUGAAAUGCGUAGAGAUCAUGAGGAAGACCAGUGGCGAAGGCGGGUCUCUGGACAGUUCCUGACACUGAGGCACGAAGGCCAGGGGAGCAAACGGG
rnacentral:rRNA from 1 species